rnacentral:lncRNA from 1 species
UCCCAUCGCCGGUCCCAUCCUCCAUAGUCUCAUCAGCAUCAGCUCGGAGAUCAUCACCAUCUCCUCCACGAGCAUCACCUGUGCCGCCAUCUCCACCUCCACGAGUCUCAUCAACAAGACCCUACAAAAUUAAAAUAUUAAUAACGGAGUCCCCAAAAUAGAUCAUAUUUAUAUUAUUUUAGUUUGUGUUCUACAAGUGUUGUUCAGUUUCGCAAACAGGGCGAUAACUCGGUCUCCGUAUGUCGGAAUCGAGUACCGUCAGUUGUAACGCGUGUCUAAUACCUACGCGGUGCUGUGUGUGUGUUUGCGUGGCGUUCGGACGGACGAUGCGGGUUUCGGGCUCUUUUUCGGCUUUUUGGCUAAGUGUUGUUCAGUUUCGCAAACAGGACGAUAACUCGGUCUCCGUAUGUCGGAAUCGAGUACCGUCAGUUGUAACGCGUGCCUAAUACCUACGCGGUGCUGUGUGUGUGUUUGCGUGGCGUUCGGACGGACGAUGCGGGUUUCGGGCUCUUUUUCGGCUUUUUGGCUAAGUGUUGUUCAGUUUCGCAAACAGGACGAUAACUCGGUCUCCGUAUGUCGGAAUCGAGUACCGUCAGUUGUAACGCGUGCCUAAUACCUACGCGGUGCUGUGUGUGUGUUUGCGUGGCGUUCGGACGGACGAUGCGGGUUUCGGGCUCUUUUUCGGCUUUUUGGCUAAGUGUUGUUCAGUUUCGCAAACAGGACGAUAACUCGGUCUCCGUAUGUCGGAAUCGAGUACCGUCAGUUGUAACGCGUGCCUAAUACCUACGCGGUGCUGUGUGUGUGUUUGCGUGGCGUUCGGACGGACGAUGCGGGUUUCGGGCUCUUUUUCGGCUUUUUGGCUAAAGUGUUGUUUAGUUUCGCAAACAGGGCGAUAACUCGAUCUCCGUAUGUCAGAUCGAGUACCGUCAGUUGUAACGCGUGCCUAAUACCUACGCGGUGCUGUGUGUGUGUUUGCGUGGCGUUCGGACGGACGAUGCGGGUUUUGGGCUCUUUUUCGGCUUUUUGCCUAAGUCUUGUUCAGUUUCGCAAACAGGACGAUAACUCGGUGUCCGUAUGUCGGAAUCGAGUACCGUCAGUUGUAACGCGUGCCUAAUACCUACGGGGUUCUGUGUGUGUAUAAUGGUGUUAGGGUUUUAUCUUAUGUUUAUUUAAGCAAUACAAUUACAAAUUACAUAAACUAAAUAAGGAAAUACAGAAUUUAAUUGUUUUUACCUGUCGAAUAUGUGGUGGGAAGAUGUUGGCCAAGACAACUGCACACACGCGGAUGGCCUCUUCCCGUACUACACCCAUGAGAUCGUCAACGGCAGC